rnacentral:rRNA from 1 species
GACGAACGCUGGCGGCGUGCUUAACACAUGCAAGUCGAACGGAAAGGCCCUGCUUGCAGGGUACUCGAGUGGCGAACGGGUGAGUAACACGUGGGUGAUCUGCCCUGCACUUCGGGAUAAGCCUGGGAAACUGGGUCUAAUACCGGAUAGGAGCCAUUUUUAGUGUGAUGGUUGGAAAGUUUUUUCGGUGUAGGAUGAGCUCGCGGCCUAUCAGCUUGUUGGUGGGGUAAUGGCCUACCAAUGCGGCGACGGGUAGCCGGCCUGAGAGGGUGGACGGCCACAUUGGGACUGAGAUACGGCCCAGACUCCUACGGGAGGCAGCAGUGGGGAAUAUUGCACAAUGGGCGCAAGCCUGAUGCAGCGACGCCGCGUGGGGGAUGACGGCCUUCGGGUUGUAAACUCCUUUCGCUAGGGACGAAGCUUUUUGCGACGGUACCUAGAUAAGAAGCACCGGCUAACUACGUG